rnacentral:rRNA from 1 species
AUUGAACGCUGGCGGCAGGCCUAACACAUGCAAGUCGAGCGGAUGAAGGGAGCUUGCUCCUGGAUUCAGCGGCGGACGGGUGAGUAAUGCCUAGGAAUCUGCCUGGUAGUGGGGGAUAACGUCCGGAAACGGGCGCUAAUACCGCAUACGUCCUGAGGGAGAAAGUGGGGGAUCUUCGGACCUCACGCUAUCAGAUGAGCCUAGGUCGGAUUAGCUAGUUGGUGGGGUAAAGGCCUACCAAGGCGACGAUCCGUAACUGGUCUGAGAGGACGAUCAGUCACACUGGAACUGAGACACGGUCCAGACUCCUACGGGAGGCAGCAGUGGGGAAUAUUGGACAAUGGGCGAAAGCCUGAUCCAGCCAUGCCGCGUGUGUGAAGAAGGUCUUCGGAUUGUAAAGCACUUUAAGUUGGGAGGAAGGGCAGUAAGUUAAUACCUUGCUGUUUUGACGUUACCAACAGAAUAAGCACCGGCUAACCUCGUG